CAAAGUGACCGGGGGGAAAGUACAAAAUUAAUGAUAGUGGUUGGAGCAGUUUUUUUUCUUUUGUUCUCUUUGUCCGCAUCAUUCAUGCCACGAAACCUUCAGCACAAUUUGUGACAAGCGUCACUUCCCUUCACCUUCCUCAUAUAAGUACGCAAGCCCCUAUACUUGCAAACACAAGAGACCACAAGAAGACAGGGCAACCCAGCAGGGUGGACAAACCCACAGACAUCUGUUUUAUUACUAUGCGGAUAUAUUUUAAAAAUUGUAAAAGCAAAAAACAACAAGUAGAGGUGUCUUUCAAUUUGAGACUGAGAGGUUCACGAACAGAAAAAAUGAUAGCUGCACCGUGGCUAUCAGUUUUGCUCCUGUUUUUCGCAACAGGAAUACAGACAACAACUGGUGAGGGAACAACCAAUGCAGUUUUAACAACAACUGGAGA